GGGAGGGGGAGGGGGAGGGGGAGGAGGAGGCGGCUGGUUCAUCAGGGCUGGGGCACAGCGCCUGGCUGACCUUGGACCGCGGCGCUGCCGGGACACUGAAGACUGCAGGCUGCCCUCAGGAGCACUUCAGCACUAGAGGGCCUGCUGGGAGAGUCGGGUGUGUGUGUUCGAGAUCUCAGGAGAGAGAGCAGCUUUUGUCAGUGGGAGCAAUGUUUCAGGAGAGCAUAAUUCAGGCUUCCACAGUGAGACUCCCCUACCAGGGAAGGAGACUGGAAGACAAGGGUCAGCUGGUUUGCAGUCUGGUCCUCCACCCAUCCCGAUCCUGCCUGCUGACACCAGCUCCCAAGUAUUUGCCCCUCCUUCACCUAGGAGUGCCUUCCGGGGGUUCCCUUCCACCCACAGCUUCCUGUUCCAGAUCCACCAUACACAACUGAGGGAGAGAAACAACUUGCAGGGUUGAGGGCCAUGCAAAUGUCUCCUCGGUGUCUGUCAACAAAUAUGACCUUUGCCGAGCGUUCUCCAAGUGCCACCAAACCCAGCAUCAGCAUCGCCUGGGAACUUGUGUGAAAUGCACAUUCUCCAGCCCCACCCUAGAUUCUGAUUCACAAAUUCCAGAUGUUGGGCCGACAACCUGUUUUAAGUCCACCAGAUGAUUCUGAUGCACGCUCAAGUUUGAGGACCACUGGUUGCUGCUAUUUCUCAAUUUUAAAAAAUUAUAUGUAUAUAUAUAAGUUUUAUCUUUGUAUUUUAAUUCUAUAUUAUUAUAUAUGAUAUAUAAUACAGGUUACUGUUAAUAUAUUUAUUUAAAAAUAUAUAUGGCCGGGUGCGGUGGCUCACGCCUGUAAUCCCAGCACUUUGGGAGGCCGAGGCAGAUGGAUCGUGAGGUCAAGAGAUCGAGACCACGGUGAAACCCCGUCUCUACUAAAAAAAAAAAAUUAGCCAGGCGCGGUGGCGGGCACCUGUAGUCCCAGCUACUCGGGAGGCUGAGGCAGGAGAAUGGCGUGAACCUGGGAGGUGGAGCUUGCAGUGAGCUGAGAUUGCGCCACUGCACUCCAGCCUGGGUGACAGAGAGAGACUCCAUCUCAAAAAAAAAAAAAUUAUAUAUAUAUAUAUAUAUAUAUAUAUAUAUAUAUAUAUAUAUGACUUUGUAGUAAGUCCUCCUUUUUUUCCCCUUAUUUUCCUUCCUUUCUUCCUUCUUGCUUUGCUUUAGAAGCCCCAAACACAACCAUGAAAGUCCUUGGUCUCUUCCAGGUUGCACAGAUCCCCUCUAUUUUUAAAUAUCCUUACAGUUUUCCCUGGAUGUUGCCUGGGAGUCCAUCCUUAUAGAUAAUGUUACAUAAGGACCUGAACUUAUCUUUUUCCAGGUCACUGCCAGGUCCAGUGCUAUUAAACAAAGCAUCUUCCCUAUUGAUUCGAGGGCUCAUCUGUGUAUGUUUCAGGCAUUUGUGUGCCCAGGGGUCUGUUCCUGAGCUCUCCAGGCUGUGCCCCGGUCUGUCCCUUCAUUCACUCUCUACUUCUGUUUGUUACAUUUCAAUGCAUGUUGGUAUCUACUAGGCCAACUCCUCACAGCCACUCUAACCCCUUUUCGCUUUACUUUUUCAGACUUGACAGUGAUUUAUAGUUCUUUUCUUCUGUAUAAAUUUUGAAGUGAGUUUGUCUAAUUCCUUCAAAGGAAUCCAACUAGAUUGAUUAGGAUAAAAAUGUAUAGAUUAAGUUAGAACAAACUGACAUCCACCUUGUUAGCUUGCUCUAUUCAUGAGUAUGUUAUAUUCAUUCUUUUAUGAUCUUCAUGGUGUUUGUUUUCCUUUAAAGCAUUUAUUUCUAGACAUGCAUAUGUUUUCCUUUUUAAUUAAAAAAAUGUUCAAUUGCAA
rnacentral:lncRNA from 10 species